rnacentral:tRNA from 1 species
GUAGACAUAGUUUAGCAAAAUCUCAGACUGUGGCUCUGAAGACAGGGGCUAAAACCCUCCUUGUUUACC